AUUCUGCCCAAGCGGGGAAGGAUGAGAAGCUUCGACCAAGGUUCGACUUGAGCGCCAGCGAGAGAGCGUUGCCACAGGCAACGGCCCGAAGGGUGAGGAGCGAAGCGACGAAUAAUCCUUCCCCCACCACCA
rnacentral:sRNA from 1 species